UGGAAGACAAGCAAUGGAGACAAAGGUUUAGUUAAAAGUUUAUUUCUCUGACAAAUGACAAUUAUCACCAAGGUUUUUGUACAGAAACCUUGGUUUUUAUCAUUAUGAUUAAUACUUCUACUUGUCAUGUUAACCAAAAGGUUUAAGCAGAAGUCAUUUACUUUUUAUGCUAUAAACAAGGUUCAGAGCACUGUUGGAGGAUUGAUCACCAGAAGAAUCAAAGAAUCAUUUAGUUUCGAAAAGACCUUCAAGAGCAUCAACUCCAAUCAUUUUGUGCUAGACGUCUGGAAUUCUUUAAGAAAACAACUCAGAUAAGUAGAAAUUUUCUGUUUUCAGAAAAGUCACCAAGGUCAUAACAUGGGCUCUGUACCAUAGAUUUUUUUUCCUAUUAUCUCUGAAUGGUUUCUAUUCUUGUUUUAUGACUGCCAGCUUUUCCAAGGUCAAACACAGGCAAACUCUGUCAACAUGGGAUUAAUGCAAGCAUGGCUGAAAGCUAGAGCUAGCACUCAUCCUACUACUUUUCUCGAAGAGCAGGAAAGAAGGACCAAUACUAAAUGAGCAAAGAAGAGGUCUCUUGCCAUGACAGCUUGGUUCUUCUAUCUACUUGGGCAUGAGCUAAGGCAACCGGGGGAGGCCAUGGAGCUGCUAAUAGCUGCCACUUACUGCAAGGGAGUGAGAACCAAAUCCAGGAGGCAAACUGAGGGUGCAAGAAUUUGUCUCAAAGCUUCCAAGGAAGUUUCAGCACAAGACAAUAGGCAAAAGUGCAAAUUUUUUUGCCCAUGUGACAUAGACGGUGUUUAUUGUUUGACUCCAAUGGGUACAGACAUCCAUUCUGAGGUUCUCCUGGAGACAGUCCAGACACCAAGGUCUAUUCCAGGCCAUUUUGUUGUAUCUGUUUUCAUAUAGAAAGUGUCUAAAGUUGAGCAGCUGGUAGUGCAACCACAAUUCAGCCAGCUAACUAGCCCAAACUGUGUUUGAAGGAAGUCUUAAACCUGGAUAGUCUCCUCUGAGUUUCGAAAUGAAGUUUUGUGUCUGUCAACUAGUAGAUGAAAGGGUAGCGCUUCUACCCUUCACAUUCUCUCCACUUGCCUGCUGGGUGUCACUUCCGGCAUUUUGCUGUUGCCUGAGAACAUGCUUGAAGUAAAGCUGCAGCUCAGAAGGAGUGUGCAGUGUGUCACUGAGUUGUUUGGAGCCUGACAAGAGGCUGUAACGUUUCCUACAGAGCAGCUACAGUCUCCUGGAUUCGAAUCCAUCUAAGCUUUCCAAAGUAUGCAUUUAAGCAUUUCAUGAGCACUUGUUUACUUCAAGGGACCACAAGACCACAAGCUGUCAAGGUCUAGCCUUUGACUAUGAAUUUAGACAUUGACUAAAAGUAGACAUUUUUAACAUGGAUCUUUGCUUAGGAAAAGAAGCUGCUGUUAUUAAUGGCAGCUAAACUGCAGAGAAAGUCCUUUCAAACAAACUUAUCUGCAAUUUCCUGAAUUCUUAAGUUCAAAAUGGUUCUAAAAUUCUGACUAUACCAGCUGUGAUGUGAGGCUGGAGCAGUACAGCUCUGCACCAGGCUAGCAAUACCAGGAUAUGAAUUUGCCUCACCGUCCCUGCACUGACAAGAUAUGCGUGAAAUGGUCUGUAGUGCAGAAAUGAACAAAGGCUUUUAGGACAGUUCCUUAUAUUUGACGAUCAACUUAUCCAAGCCUCUAGUUCUUCUCAAAGUCCUUAUUUUGUACUUGCAUUAAAGGUGCUGGUUUGGUCUUUUAUUGAAAAAUCUGGUCCCAGAGUCAAAUCCCAG
ensembl:lncRNA